AACAAUUUGCUUUGCAAUGUUUGUUUGGGAAGAUUUCACCACAUUUAAAGUAAAGCAAGACCAAGUGAGACGUAGUAGAGAAAGUAGAAAAAAAGAAGAGUGUAAGAUUAACUGGAUUAACCUGGACUGGCUGACAACCCUCCCGUGUACCGAACUGCUUUGGAAGAGGACCCGUUUGUGUACCACGUGGUAGAAGAAGACUACGAGAACGACUUGGACACGGUGACGUGGUGUUGAGCUUAUCCUCCUACACGAUCAAUUUACUCUGAAUAAACUGUUGAACUACCCAGAGGCCGGCUUGUGCUCUUGAACAGUGACGUGGAAACCCACGCAUGGGCUUGCCACAUAAAAUAUACUUUAGAUUGUAAGCACUUAAUACCCAAUAAUUGUUAUUAAAAAUUGAACAACAUGACUUAUUAACAAUUACUUAUUCAGGGAAGGUAAGCUUUACUUCAAAAUAUUUUAUUAGGCUGCAGUUGUGACUGUUGAAAAAUUUUGUUAGCUGACUAAUACAACAAUAAAAUGUAAACGAUUUGCAUGGGUAAUAAUUACCUUCCAAAAUUCGUUUACUGUGAACUGGGGGAAGGGAUCAUGAUGAAGCCGGACAGACGUUCUGCUUGAAUGCAUGACAUGUUUUGUAAAUGUUUUCUUUGAAUAUAAAUGUGUUUUUGUUUUAAACACAUUAGACACCCACUGUUUCUUUCCUCUUACCUAUUAGUGUUUUUAUUAAGUCAGUUGGGCCUUUCUAUGUCUGAUUCUCUUGUGGGCUUCCUGCUGUAACAUAUGGAGCAGCCAUCUUGCUUGUGCUUUUGUAUUGUGUGAGUUUUAGACAUUUUAUUUGCUCUGAUUUGUUUGAGGUGGAAUUCUGCUGAUUUUUGUGACUAUUUGCUGUUUACUAUUUUACACUGACCCCCGGAUGGUACAGUUAGUCACACAUGUUCUAUUUUCUUUUUAAAAUGUUUAUAUCUUAAAUUAACGCUUCUUUCUCUUUUAUUGAGACUCAC
ensembl:lncRNA